rnacentral:rRNA from 1 species
CCUACGGGUGGCAGCAGUGGGGAAUAUUGGACAAUGGGGGCAACCCUGAUCCAGCCAUGCCGCGUGUGUGAAGAAGGCCCUCGGGUUGUAAAGCACUUUCAGUGAGGAAGAACGCCUGGUGGUUAAUACCCAUCAGGAAAGACAUCACUCACAGAAGAAGCACCGGCUAACUCCGUGCCAGCAGCCGCGGUAAUACGGAGGGUGCGAGCGUUAAUCGGAAUUACUGGGCGUAAAGCGCGCGUAGGUGGCUUGAUAAGCCGGUUGUGAAAGCCCCGGGCUCAACCUGGGAACGGCAUCCGGAACUGUCAAGCUAGAGUGCAGGAGAGGAAGGUGGAAUUCCCGGUGUAGCGGUGAAAUGCGUAGAGAUCGGGAGGAAUACCAGUGGCGAAGGCGGCCUUCUGGACUGAUACUGACACUGAGGUGCGAAAGCGUGGGUAGCAAACAGGAUUAGAUACCCUGGUAGUC